rnacentral:lncRNA from 10 species
AGAUUCCCGUUCUGUUAUUCUGUGAAACCACAGAGGCUGCCUUGUCUCUUUUCUCCUUUUGGUGUGACUUUCAUUUUAUGUGAAGGCCACAGGGUAACUUACCCUGUCCAGUGAUUUUUCCAGUUUCCAUUCUCUUGUAUUAUAGGCAGGUAGCUGUUCCUGCCUCCACUAGGCACUACUCUGACAGGCACUGUGGCAGAACUUAAGGUUUGCUGGGGUAUCUCUGUUCUCGAAAGUGGUGGAAAGGAAGAGAUAUUCAGUGUAGGAACAGUUCUGAAGAACUGACUAGAGGCAGAUCAUAGAAGAGCAGAUCCUGGCCCAUCCGCAGCCCCAGAGACCUUCCUUUACAUACCAAAAUGUUCCAGUGCACAUUCACUGCUGGACAUUAAUUUGUUGAGAGGCAGCAUCACACAGUGGUCGAGAGUGAAGGCUUCAGUCAGAUAGACAAGGUUUGAAUGCUGAUUUUGCCACUUUGCUGUGUGACUUUAGGGGUUCAUGUGGGAUGUGGCUGAGGAACUGAAAGCUAUGUUGGUGUUUGCUGAACAUCGAUACUAUGGAGAGUCUCUCCCCUUUG